CGGGAAUCUUCCACAAUGGACGAAAGUCUGAUGGAGCAACGCCGCGUGAGCGAUGAAGGCCUUCGGGUCGUAAAGCUCUGUUGUUAGGGAAGAACAAGUAUCGGAGUAACUGCCGGUACCUUGACGGUACCUAACCAGAAAGCCACGGCUAACUACGUGCCAGCAGCCGCGGUAAUACGUAGGUGGCAAGCGUUGUCCGGAAUUAUUGGGCGUAAAGCGCGCGCAGGCGGUCCUUGAAGUCUGAUGUGAAAGCCCACGGCUCAACCGUGGAGGGUCAUUGGAAACUGGGGGACUUGAGUGCAGAAGAGGAAAGCGGAAUUCCACGUGUAGCGGUGAAAUGCGUAGAGAUUAGGAAGAACACCAGUGGCGAAGGCGACUCUCUGGACCGUAACUGACGCUGAGGCAUGAAAGCGUGGGGAGCAAAC
rnacentral:rRNA from 1 species